rnacentral:tRNA from 1 species
AAGACACUAGUAUAACAAUUAUUUUACCUUGUCAGGGCAAAGAUGUAGGUUAGACCCCUACGUGUUUUA